rnacentral:rRNA from 1 species
GAUGAACGCUAGCGGCAGGCUUAAUACAUGCAAGUCGAGGGGCAGCAUGAUUGUAGCAAUACAAUUGAUGGCGACCGGCAAACGGGUGCGGAACACGUACACAACCUUCCAAUAAGUGGGGAAUAGCCCAGAGAAAUUUGGAUUAAUACCCCGUAACAUAACGAUGUGGCAUCACAUUGUUAUUAUAGAUUUUUCGCUUAUUGAUGGGUGUGCGGCUGAUUAGAUAGUUGGCGGGGUAACGGCCCACCAAGUCUACGAUCAGUAGCUGAUGUGAGAGCAUGAUCAGCCACACGGGCACUGAGACACGGGCCCGACUACUACGGGAGGCAGCAGUAAGGAAUAUUGGACAAUGGACGCAAGUUUGAUCCAGCCAUGCCGCGUGAAGGAUUAAGGUCCUCUGGAUUGUAAACUUCUUUUAUAAGGGACGAAAAAAGGCUUUUCUAAGUCGUCUGACGGUACCUUAUGAAUAAGCACCGGCUAACUCCGUGCCAGCCGCCGCCGUAACAC